UUACAUUUUUAGCGAGAAAUAUAUAUUCUAUUUUCAUAAUAUUAGCGUCAAAAACUGACGCGAAUUUUAUUGGUAUGAAAUCACGCUGAAGAAGUCUCCUUCAGAACACAUCGCGAUAUUUGGCAUCAGUUCGCGUGUGCUGGAUGUUGCUGAAAAGACAAAAAGGGCCUUUCGGAAAUGGAUGAAGGAGACAGAAAGCUGCAAAGGCAAAUAAUUGCAAUGAAGGAAAUCCUACGGUUAUGUAUGAACUCACAACAUCAUCAUCAAGUGCUGUGCUGGGA